ensembl:lncRNA
ACUACAUUGAGAUGGAAAAGGGUAAGGGGGACAUAACCGAUUCUUCUUCGAAAGCUGGGGGUGGGAGAUUACUGGUGGGAGGGUUUUGCUCCACAGCCCUUUGGAAACUGCUUUCUCAAGCACAUGCAAAAAACGCAGGCACAUAUACCAGGCCCCCACAUCUGCAGCCCAGCACCAAUGUAAUGUAAAAUUAUCCUGGAAGGCAAGCAUUCCAAGGUUUGUUGAUGCAAAGAAUAAAGCACCCUUGCUGAAUUUCACUGGGUGUUGACGGCUAAGAAUAGUCCUUGUUUCUCUCCUAAUGUGAGUGAUUAUAUGCCUCUAGCUUCCCCUUUCUUGGAUUGACUGACUCUUAGCUGACCUAUCUUACGCUUACAGCACAUCUCCAUUCCAACUGAUCCUGUUUCAAGGCCUCACAGCCACACGUGGUGAGCGGCUACUGUAUUGGACAGCACAGACUAAGAAGCUGGAGUCCCCGAGCGUGCCUAGUUGGAAUCAAAGGAGUUAUUAGUAAAAUCAGAACUGUGCGGGUUACCAAGAAGUUCCAGAGACACAGCCAAAAUAAAGAGGGUGAAGCUGCGGAAUGUUUUCAUUCUGGCAACCACAGGAGCGACAAGAGCCAGGAAUACAGGUGGAGUUUGACCAAACAGAGCUGAGAAUCCAUUUGAGGCUGAACUGCACCUGCCCCACUCCUGGUUGCUCUGGCAACCAGACUCCCUCCCCAUGCUAAUGACAUUAUAAUGAGAACAUCCACAUGCAAAUGAAUUAAGCAGUAAUUACAGGCAGAUUCUCACUUGUUCUACUAGCUCCACUUAAGGGGGUGGUGGUGGAGAGAGGACUUGGGGAGAGUUUGAGACUGCACAGAGGAGAUGGCGAAAGGAAAGAAUUGGAGUUACGAAAUAAAAGGGUUAUCUGGAGGCUGUACACCAGGCAAUAAAGUCCUGUAGUUACACACUCACGUUGUUCCAUCUGUUCGGCUUUCUCUGCUCUGACCAUCACUCAGUGGGAGAGAGACCACCCAGGGGAAAGGGAGCCAAGAAUAGGGAGACAACAGCGACUUUGCAAAGAAGGCACAGGUUUAGGGAGCAAUGCCGACCCCCCACCCCCCACCAGUUUCAAAAUAAAUUACUUAUGAAUUGUUCCACCUCCCAAGCCACCCAUGGGGAGCUACCGUGAAAAACACUGAAACUCUGGGAAAAGAUAAAAAGGAGAAAGAAAGACUGUCCUUUAUUCAUGGGUUUGAUUUGCUCUUAAUUGCUUUUUACAGUUGCCCCAAGUAGAUCAGAGGCACAUAUUAAUUAAUAGUGAACAAGUUGAAUACAGAACUUCAGAAACUUGAUAACUGGCAAUAAGCAGAACUUGGCUGAUGUGGG